GAGGAAGUAAAAGUCGUAACAAGGUUUCCGUAGGUGAACCUGCGGAAGGAUCAUUAACAAAUGCGAAACGGGGGAGCUGUCGCUGGCCUUUUGGGGCAUGUGCACGCUCCGUCGAAUCCAAUUUAAACCUGUGAACCAACGGCGGAGGGGUCUUUGAGGUUGCUACGGCGCCGAGGGGGCCUUUCCUGCUUAUUAUUACACCCUUUGUAUGUUCAGAAUGUCUUUUGCGUAUUUUCGCAACAUAUACAACUUUCAGCAACGGAUCUCUUGGCUCUCGCAUCGAUGAAGAACGCAGCGAAAUGCGAUAAGUAAUGUGAAUUGCAGAAUUCAGUGAAUCAUCGAAUCUUUGAACGCACCUUGCGCGCUCCGGUAUUCCGGAGCGCAUGCCCGUUUGAGUGUCGUGGUAUCAUCAAACCUCCAUCGUUUCGGCGGUGGGUUGGCUUGGAUAUGGAGGUGUUGCUGGGCCCUUUUGGGUUCGGCUCCUCUCAAAUGCAUUAGCUGGGACGUUCGGUCUAAAGGCUCUGGCGUGAUAGUGAUGUUGCGUCGUGGUCUGAGGCCUCUUGUGUCACCGCUUCCAAUCGUCCGCGAGGACAGCAUUGUUUUUGACCUUUGACCUCAAAUCGGGUAGGACUACCCGCUGAACUUAAGCAUAUCAAUAA
rnacentral:rRNA from 1 species